UACGUAGGGUGCGAGCGUUGUCCGGAAUUAUUGGGCGUAAAGAGCUCGUAGGCGGUGUGUCGCGUCGGCCGUGAAAACCUGGGGCUUAACUCUGGGCGUGCGGUCGAUACGGGGCAUCACUAGAGUUCGGCAGGGGAGACUGGAAUUCCUGGUGUAGCGGUGAAUGCGCAGAUAUCAGGAGGAACACCGAUGGCGAAGGCAGGUCUCUGGGCCACUGACUGACGCUGAGAAGCGAAAGCAUGGGGAGCGAACAGG
rnacentral:rRNA from 1 species